CAGCGGCUUCCCAUUGUCCUGGUUCUCUAGCUUCUGAGUGACAAGAGGCCACAGCAGCAGUGACAGCACCAGUUGUGGCAUCUUGAUCUCUUUAUUGCAGCGGUGGAUCCAGCCUCUGCCAGGCAACCCCCAGGAUGGGUCCAGCUCCCAGCCACUGGCCCCUCUGCAGCUCUUGCACUGACCUGUCAGCCCAGUGCCUGGGCUCUGAGUCUCUAUCCAUUCAAGAAAACAAGAGGAGACUGCUCCCUAAUGUGUGGUCUCGGGGAAGGAGCUGAGCUGCUCUCCUAAUGGACAAUCAGGUAAGGAACCUACAAGAGUGAGGCUAAGUAUGAACGGUGGAAUAUCACUCAGCCCUGAAAAAAAUGAGAUAAAUUCACAUGCCGAGACAUGCAAAGAUCUCUAAGAUAUUGUAAUGUGAAAAAAAUGCAGACACCUGUAGAUGUAGUUCCAUGUAAUCUAUGUAAAAAUAAUACAGACAUGCACACGCAUACUUUAUAUCUACAGAAAGGGGAUUAGAUGGAAGCACACCAGAAUUGUUCAUAGUUAGGGCCUGGGGGCCAGGGAUUGGGGUGGGCAGAAGGGGGUGUUCUUAUUUUACUCUCUGCACCCCUGAAAUGCUUGACUCUGACAUCAGGAAUGUGUUCUUGUAUCACUUCCAUAAUUAAA